UACGGAGGAUGCAAGCGUUAUCCGGAAUGAUUGGGCGUAAAGCGUCCGCAGGUGGCUGUGUAAGUCUGCUGUUAAAGAGUGAGGCUCAACCUCAUAAAAGCAGUGGAAACUACACGGCUAGAGUGCGUUCGGGGCAGAGGGAAUUCCUGGUGUAGCGGUGAAAUGCGUAGAUAUCAGGAAGAACAUCGGCGGCGAAAGCGCUCUGCUGGACCUGCACUGACACUGAGGGACGAAAGCUAGGGGAGCGAAAGGG
rnacentral:rRNA from 1 species